UGUAUUUUUAGUAGAGACCCUCUACAGUAGAGCACACCCUCGGAAAAGCCACGCUGCACUCACUAUCUCAGGACCAGCUUGGGUGUCCCUGAAGGGCAGAACAAAACCUUUCCAAAGGCAAAGCCUCACUAUCAAACAGAGAAGAGGCCAGUGAAUGACAAGAGCUGAUUGAAGAGUUUCGGUGGAAAACACCUCACUGGUUUAGACCAAGUCCCUUCAGGGGACUGGACUGGGAGUAAGCAGAGGCCAUGCUUCCUGCCUGGCUUGGCAGGAGUGAGGGGCUGCUGGACGCCCACGGGGUUGCUGGCUCUGGAGAGGGAACUGGUAGUGCUGGAGGGUGAUCCAGGGGGAGCAGUCCCCACCUCCACCAUUGCUCAACCACCCGCCUGCUUUCUGCUCAGCUUUCCCCAGAGGCCUGCUGGGGGCUUGCUGCGCAGCCGCAAACAAAAAGGCCUCUUUGUAGAUCCUCCCCUAGGACGCUCCGGAGGAAACAGCUCCCCUCGAAGCGGUAUUCAGCAUUCACGGCUGUCACCCAGGAGUCCCUGCUGGGUGCUGGGCCCAGUGCCGGGAGCUACAAAGGGUAUUGCCUGUACCAUCUGCCUGGGUCUCAGACUGAGGAUGACGAGGAGCAGAGUGGCAGCCAACUCAUAAUAGGCUGCACAGACUGCAUCCCAUGUUUAGAAAAACGUCAAAGGAAGGCUUCCGUUCUCGCCAGCACCCGGGAAAAGCAGCUCCCUUACAGUGCAGGCAUUGAAGGUAUCCUUGGAGAGCCUCAGAUCCCCAGAAACAAGUGUGCUGGACCCCCAGGGGUGCCCGGGCCUCACUUUGAGAACAGCUGCCUUACAAGGGUACUUUGGAUUCAGUUGCUGGCGGGGACAGAGAGCAACAUGUCCCAGGGAAGCUGAGGAAGAACGUGGAUGGAAAACAGACUGCUUCUGGCGAUGUGAACCUUCCCUUACCUUAGGAAGAAGGGUAACCAGGGUGCACAGAAUGGCGAAUUGAGGACCUUUUCUUCUCAGUUCCUUCUUUAAAAUACUGAAUCCUACUGCAUCGAUUUUCAGGCCAUUGGGGAAACCUACCGUCACCGCCAAUCCUGACCUGUAAACUGCAAGUCAGGAGGAAUCCAAUAGGAUGGCAGAAACAGUCUUGACAUCUCACUUCAGAAGACAAUGUCAGUGCACUGCUUGCCAGAUGACAUCCUAUGCUGUGUUCCUCGGAGCUGCAAAUACUUCUUCCGGGUGGGGAGCAGGCCCCUGGGACACCGAAACUGGCUCACAUCCACAGGCAAUAUAGUAAUUAAUGGUGUCUUUCAGGGCAAGCGCAGUAAAAAAA
rnacentral:lncRNA from 1 species